GGUAGAGUUCUUCGGAGCUUGAGACCGGCGCACGGGUGCGUAACGCGUAUGCAAUCUACCUUUUACAGAGGGAUAGCCCAGAGAAAUUUGGAUUAAUACCUCAUAGUAUAAUUGAAUGGCAUCAUUUAAUUAUUAAAGUCACAACGGUAAAAGAUGAGCAUGCGUCCCAUUAGCUAGUUGGUAAGGUAACGGCUUACCAAGGCUACGAUGGGUAGGGGUCCUGAGAGGGAGAUCCCCCACACUGGUACUGAGACACGGACCAGACUCCUACGGGAGGCAGCAGUGAGGAAUAUUGGACAAUGGGCGCAAGCCUGAUCCAGCCAUGCCGCGUGCAGGAUGACGGUCCUAUGGAUUGUAAACUGCUUUUGUACAGGAAGAAACACUGGUUCGUGAACCAGCUUGACGGUACUGUAAGAAUAAGGAUCGGCUAACUCCGUGCCAGCAGCCGCGGUAAUACGGAGGAUCCAAGCGUUAUCCGGAAUCAUUGGGUUUAAAGGGUCCGUAGGCGGUUUGGUAAGUCAGUGGUGAAAGCCCAUCGCUCAACGGUGGAACGGCCAUUGAUACUGCUAGACUUGAAUUAUUAGGAAGUAACUAGAAUAUGUAGUGUAGCGGUGAAAUGCUUAGAGAUUACAUGGAAUACCAAUUGCGAAGGCAGGUUACUACUAAUGGAUUGACGCUGAUGGACGAAAGCGUGGGUAGCGAACAGGAUUAGAUACCCUGGUAGUCCACGCCGUAAACGAUGGAUACUAGCUGUUGGAAGCAAUUUCAGUGGCUAAGCGAAAGUGAUAAGUAUCCCACCUGGGGAGUACGUUCGCAAGAAUGAAACUCAAAGGAAUUGACGGGGGCCCGCACAAGCGGUGGAGCAUGUGGUUUAAUUCGAUGAUACGCGAGGAACCUUACCAAGGCUUAAAUGUAGAUUGACCGGUUUGGAAACAGACUUUUCGCAAGACAAUUUACAAGGUGCUGCAUGGUUGUCGUCAGCUCGUGCCGUGAGGUGUCAGGUUAAGUCCUAUAACGAGCGCAACCCCUGUUGUUAGUUGCCAGCGAGUCAUGUCGGGAACUCUAACAAGACUGCCAGUGCAAACUGUGAGGAAGGUGGGGAUGACGUCAAAUCAUCACGGCCCUUACGCCUUGGGC
rnacentral:rRNA from 1 species